CUACGACCAUAUUACGUUGAAACAUCGGUUCCCGUACGAGUAUCAAAGUUAAGCAAUAUCAAGCCUGAUCAGUACGUAGAUGGGUGACACCUCGGGAAUACCAGGUGCUGUAAU